UACGUAGGGUGCAAGCGUUGUCCGGAAUUAUUGGGCGUAAAGAGCUUGUAGGCGGUUUGUCGCGUCUGCUGUGAAAUUUCGGGGCUCAACCCCGAACUUGCAGUGGGUACGGGGCAGACUAGAGUGUGGAAGAGGCUACUGGAAUUCCGUGUGUAGCGGUGAAAUGCGUAGAUAUAACGGAGGAACACCUGCGGCGAAGGCGGGGUAGCUGGGCCAAACACUGACGCUGAUGCGCGAAAAGCUAGGGGGAGCAAAACGGG
rnacentral:rRNA from 1 species